CCUACGGGUGGCAGCAGUGAGGAAUAUUGGUCAAUGGACGAGAGUCUGAACCAGCCAAGUAGCGUGAAGGAUGACUGCCCUAUGGGUUGUAAACUUCUUUUAUAUGGGAAUAAAAUGUUCCACGUGUGGGAUUUUGUAUGUACCAUAUGAAUAAGGAUCGGCUAACUCCGUGCCAGCAGCCGCGGUAAUACGGAGGAUCCGAGCGUUAUCCGGAUUUAUUGGGUUUAAAGGGAGCGUAGGUGGAUUGUUAAGUCAGUUGUGAAAGUUUGCGGCGUAACCGUAAAAUUGCAGUUGAAACUGGCAGUCUUGAGUACAGUAGAGGUGGGCGGAAGUCGUGGUGUAGCGGUGAAAUGCUUAGAUAUCACGAAGAACUCCGAUUGCGAAGGCAGUUCACUGGACUGCAACUGACACUGAGGCUCGAAAGUGUGGGUAUCAAACAGGAUUAGAUACCCGAGUAGUC
rnacentral:rRNA from 1 species